rnacentral:rRNA from 1 species
AUUGAACGCUGGCGGCAGGCCUAACACAUGCAAGUCGAACGAGUGGCGGACGGGUGAGUAAUGUCUGGGAAACUGCCCGAUGGAGGGGGAUAACUACUGGAAACGGUAGCUAAUACCGCAUACCCUCGGAUGUGCCCAGAUGGGAUGAGGUUUGAGGUGAGGUAACGGCUCACCUAGGCGACGAUCCCUAGCUGGUCUGAGAGGAUGACCAGCCAGAUGGGAAAUGGGCCACGGGCCGGACGCCUACGGGAGGCAGCAGUGGGGAAUAUUGCACAAGGGGCGCAGUGCUGAUGCAGCCAUGCCGCGUGUAUGAAGAAGGCCUUCGUGUUUUAAAGUACUUUCAUCGGGGAGGCGUUACCCGCAGAAGAAGCACCGGCUAACUCCGUGCCAGCAGCCGCGGUAAUUC